CCGCCCGUCAUACCAAGGGAGCCGGGAGUGCCUUAAUUCUGACUUUAUGUCGGACCACGGCAAGCUCGGUGACAAGGGUGAAGUCGUAACAAGGCAUCCGUAGCGGAAGCUGCGGAUGGAUCAUCUCCUUU
rnacentral:rRNA from 1 species